UCCGUCUCACUUUUCUUUUGUAACGCGACUUUGAAAAUGGCAAGACGUGUUGCUGUUGGAUAUUCUUGUAAAUUAAAUAAAAUGUUGAAAAAGAGCUAAUACAAAAUUAUGUAGCCGUACCAGAAGAAAUUUGAAAUUCCGAUGUAUUUCAGCUAUAGCACGUGCUGCCAUGAACAAACAGAAACAUUGUGAGACGAGUACACAUCAUGGUCGUUAUCCACGUGUUGAAAACUUGGAGCAAUAUUAAGUUGUUACUAAUAACGUGAUGGAAAGAACUAAGGAGUAUGCAGGCAAUGAGCUCUUGCGCUCUGGAAGUUGUUAAUGAUCUGCUGCACUGUGCUGAUUUAAAUAGCUGUUGUUGAAGCACUUUUUAAUUCGGACGCCUAUUGCCUAGUAAAAUCGAUAAGAUAACAAAGCGAAAAGGUUGUCGGCUUCUUUGGACUGACUCGCUUCUUCCUCCACUUCCAGCACUCAAUUGUUAGAAUUGACUUUUAUUUAUAUACGAAAGCGCCAAAUCUGUUUGACAUUAGCGAAACUUUUAAUUCAAGCAACCUCAACAACGCUCAAGGAGGGAGAAUGCUAAAAUUGUUAAAAUUUGUACAUAUUGUUCAACAGAAAUAAAUAAAAAGUCUGCUGACUAUAUUUUU